CGGUGUUUAACUGGCGUGAUGUGGGACGUCCUACCGGUGGGCUUAGCCUCGCGAGGGGCGGCCCAACUAAUAUCCCGUCGCGGUGCUCUUUACUGAGUGUCGAGUCGGGCCGGUACGUUUACUUUGAACAAAUUAGAGUGCUUAAAGCAGGCUAUCCUCGCCUGAAUACUGCGUGCAUGGAAUAAUGGAAUAGGACCUCGGUUCUAUUUUGUUGGUUUUCGGAACCCCGAGGUAAUGAUUAAUAGGGACAGAUGGGGGCAUUCGUAUUGCGACGUUAGAGGUGAAAUUCUUGGAUCGUCGCAAGACGGACAGAAGCGAAAGCAUUUGCCAAAAAAUGUUUUCAUUAAUCAAGAACGAAAGUUAGAGGUUCGAAGGCGAUCAGAUACCGCCCCUAGUUCUAACCAUAAACGAUGCCAGCUAGCGAUCCGCCGAAGUUCCUCCGAUGACUCGGCGGGCAGCUUCCGGGAAACCAAAGCUUUUGGGUUCCGGGGGAAGUAUGGUUGCAAAGCUGAAACUUAAAGGAAUUGACGGAAGGGCACCACCAGGAGUGGAGCCUGCGGCUUAAUUUGACUCAACACGGGAAACCUCACCAGGCCCAGACACCGGAAGGAUUGACAGAUUGAUAGCUCUUUCUUGAUUCGGUGGGUGGUGGUGCAUGGCCGUUCUUAGUUGGUGGAGCGAUUUGUCUGGUUAAUUCCGAUAACGAACGAGACUCUAGCCUGCUAAAUAGGCGUACCUUAUGGUAUCGCGAAGGCCCCCGGCUUCGGCCGGUGGGUUUUUACUACCAACGUACAAACAAAUCUUCUUAGAGGGACAGGCGG
rnacentral:rRNA from 1 species